CGUCGAUGCCGGCUCAUAAACAUUCUAUCAGGCGAAGGAAAAGGCAAAGGUUCAUUGAAGCUAUAUGUUAAUAGUGGAAACGUGUGGUUUACUAUGUACGUGUAAUUUAUCUACAUAGAUAGCAGCUAUUAGCGUGCCCUCUGCCAGAUGUAAAACAUCUAGACAUUCUUCGUUAAUGCCGGAAAUUUUUCCUUCUUGGUGUGUACGGUCGGUCCAAGGCUAUGCCCUUUCUUCUUCGUUUGCAUCCGAACUGCAUCAAAUGCUUGGAACACAUUAGGAUCUCCAAGUUUUUUACGCAGAUCAGCACCUCUUCUUUGCACCAACUACGCGACGGUGUCAUAGUA